CUUAAAAUUGUUAGAGUAAUAGUAGAAGUAGAAAUCAAGACAUUUUGUGAAAGUGCAAAUUUAGUUAAUCCACUCGCUUUCUUCAAGUAUAUACUCCUAACACCUCUUAUAACUCCCUAUGGAUUCGAUCCCGACUCAUAGUUGGGUAAUUUAUAUUGCAUACGACUGUAUCAUAUCUCUUAUCGAGGUGUGUUGUGGACGUCAUCAUAGCCUCGGGGGCCUAGAUCCCUUGGUGGUGGUUUGGAAGGCCCUGCCACAUCUCUUUUAACCGUUCCCCGAUUACUUCUGACCAGCUCUGGUCUUGCGAUUGGUCCCUGUUAUCGAAGGGCUGAGUAAGGUUCGAACCGGCCCCACAUAUUCCUCUGCCCAAAUUUCGGUAUACCUUUUAGCCUUUUCUGGAAGAGACUCCUUACUUCGUUCGGCACCGUGGCUCUAAGGCCAUCUUCAAUCUACAUCUUGGAUGUAUACAUGUGAUUCACUUCAUUUAAAGUUUUAGCAGGGAACUCCUUCAGGCUUUCUUUUAGCUUCCACGAACCGUCAUACCUAUUCGGUUUCAUAUCAUCAGUAAAUGCGGCUGCAGCCUAGUCCUCCGAUAUUGUAGGCAACAUCAUUAUUUCUCGUUGGGAUCUCUCCAUAAAGCUUGAAGCAAUUCCCCAUCGCGUUGCUUUAUUUUGAAGAUGCAUUUCAUUUGGGUCUCAACCUUUUGAGCCCCAAUAUGAGCCUCUACAAAAACAUCCGGAAGCAUAGCAGAAGAGUCGAUAUAAUGUUUAGGCAUUUCAGUUCUGGCUCGGAACUCGAUGUUGGCUGACGGGUUGGUGAGCAUGUGGUCCAGUUGAAAAUGGGGUCAUGACCAGGGAAAAGAUCCAUUGGGAACGGUGUUAUUGCUCUAUCGGUCAGGAGUGACUUUGAUUAUUUCGAGAUGGCACCGUUGCCUUGAGAUACUAGUGAUAAUAACUUUGAAGCCCCUAACAGGGGUCACCAACCGCGAUACAGCUGAGUGUCAAUUCUGACUGGGCCAAAGCUUCCACGUUCACAUCCUCGUUAGUCCACCUAGCAGGCCCGAAUUUUCACCCCAUACAAUGUUCCUGAUUAUCUAGUUUGGAAGGUUUUUGGGGACCUUAUUAGCUUCUUUCGGCAAAAGGUUUUCGGUACUAUAUCGCAUUUGUGGACUGCAAACAUCAUUGCUGACACACUUGAUCAGGGUACUGAUAAAUAUGGAACAUUGUUGACAAGAAGUUCAUUUAUGUUACAAAGUGUAUUUUAGAAGAUAAAAAUUACUGGAUUCGAUCUAUGAUCAUACCUAAUACUUUAGCUCCUUGGGCUUUCAAUAAUAGCAUAUUGACUUGAAGAAAUAAUUAAACCGGUCAAUAUUGUAUUUGGCCAUACUAGAUAAAAUCCUUUGAAUGAAAUUUUUCAUUGUUAUUCUAGAUAAGGUCAUUAUUUCGUGCAUUCGAAUGUAUU